GCGUCCCUGACCUUGCUUCAUAUACACAACAUCCUUUCUUAUCUUCUGAAGAUAUGAAUGAAAGUGAAAGUUGACUUCACCACAGGCCCAGGUCUUGUAUUGAGGACAAGGAAAUACUGCCCCAUAAUGCUGUUGAGAAUAUUUAAGAGCAGUCAGGAAACCCUUUGUAGCUUGGCUUUAUAGCAGCAAGUGUCAAAGAGGAGGACCUUAAGCCCUGAACUUCCAAGGCCAACUUGACUGGAAACCCUCUAGUCUUUAAUCCAUAGAAACCUGACUUCUGUCCCCUCCAUGCCUAGAAAACUACUUUUUAAAAGAACAUUAGUGGUCACCACGUUGGUAAAGUAUUAAUAAAUAAACAUGUUUUAGUUCUAAUCACA
rnacentral:lncRNA from 1 species